rnacentral:rRNA from 1 species
CCACGGGCGCACGGCGGAUGCCUUGGCACAGGGAGCCGAUGAAGGACGCGGCAAGCUGCGAUAAUCCCCGGCGAGGAGCACACAUCCUUCGACCCGGGGGUCUCCGAAUGGGCGAACCCAUCCGUAGCAGUACGGAUAUCCCGACCCCGAACACAUAGGGGCCGGGAGGACAACCCGGGGAACUGAAACAUCUAAGUACCCGGAGGAGAGGAAAUCAAUCUCGAGACUCCCCGAGUAGCGGCGAGCGAAAGGGGACCGAUGGCCAAACCGUCGAGCGGGCAUACCCGGCAGGGGUUCCGCCGACGGGGUUGCAGGGCCGCGCAUCCGGGGGCUGCCGCCCCCGGGCGCAGGUCCGGCUGGGGAGCGGAACGGCAUGGGAGGGCCGGCCGCAGCGGGUGACAGCCCCGUACGCGAACCCAGACCGGACGGCGCGACGCGGUCCCUGAGUAGGGCCGGGCACGUGAAACCCGGUCCGAACCUGGGUGGACCACCAUCCAAGCCUGAGUACUACCCUGUGACCGAUAGCGCACCAGUACCGUGAGGGAAAGGUGAAAAGCACCCCGGGAGGGGAGUGAAACAGUACCUGAAACCGUGCGCCCACGAGCAGUCGGAGCACCCUUGUGGUGUGACGGCGUGCCUUUUGUAGAAUGAGCCAGCGAGUCGCUGGCGCGGGGCGAGGUUAACCGAAAGGGAGCCGGAGCGAAAGCGAGCCUUAACAGGGCGACUUGAGUCCCGCGCCGCGGACGCGAAGCCGGGUGAGCUAUCCGUGGGCAGGCUGAAGCGGGGGUAAGACCCCGUGGAGGGCCGAACGCACGUCGGUUGAAAACGGCGGCGAUGACCUGCGGAUAGGGGUGAAAGGCCAAUCAAACCCGGAGAUAUCUCGUUCUCCCCGAAAUAGCUUUAGGGCUAGCGUCGCGCGUUCACCGCCGGAGGUAGAGCACCGGAUGGACGAGGGGGCUUCGCCGCCUACCGAAUCCAACCGAACUCCGAAUGCCGGCGGCCCAGAGCGCGGCAGUCAGAGCAUGUGGGCUAAGCUGUGUGCUCGAGAGGGAAACAGCCCGGACCGCCCGCUAAGGUCCCCAAGUUCCAGCCGAGUGGCAAAGGAUGUGCGUCCGCCCAGACAACCAGGAUGUUGGCUUAGAAGCAGCCAUCCAUUCAAAGAGUGCGUAACAGCUCACUGGUCGAGUGGACAUGCGCCGACAAUACACGGGGCUAAGCUGGACACCGAAGCGGCGGGAUUUUGAUUUUCAGAAUCGGUAGGGGAGCUUCCCAUGGGCGGUGAAGCCGCCGGGCGACCGGCGGUGGAGCGCAUGGGAGUGAGAAUGCUGGCAUGAGUAGCGAGAGACGAGAGAGUAACUCGUCCGCCGUGAACCCGAGGUUUCCUGGGCAAGGCUAAUCCUCCCAGGGUCAGUCGGGGGCUAAGGCGAGGCCGGGAGGCGUAGCCGACGCGCAGCAGGCAGACAUUCCUGCACCGCGCACGCGGCGCUACGACCGACGGGGCGACGGAUGGGGGUGGCUCGGCGGGGUUCUGGACGUCCCCGUGAUGGAGCGCGGCCCGCGGACCAGGGAAAUCCGGUCCGCAGGAGGGCGAGGCUCCGGACGAAGCGAUCAAGCGAAGCGAGUGAGCCCGAGGUCCCUAGAAAAACCCCUAGGCAGGCGCGUGCGCGCCCGUACCGCAAACCGACACAGGUGGGUGGGUAGAACAUACCGAGGCGAUCGGGUCAACCAUGGUCAAGGAACUCGGCACAAUGGCCCCGUAACUUCGGGAGAAGGGGUGCCCGCGCGUACGUGAACGGACUUGCUCCGGGAGCGGAGGCGGGCCGCAGUGGAGAGGCCCAAGCGACUGUUUACCAAAAACACAGGACUCUGCAGAAGCCGCAAGGCGACGUAUAGGGUCUGACGCCUGCCCGGUGCCGGAAGGUCACGCGGAGGAGUUAGCCGCAAGGCGAAGCCCCGAAGCCAAGCCCCGGUAAACGGCGGCCGUAACUAUAACGGUCCUAAGGUAGCGAAAUUCCU